rnacentral:lncRNA from 1 species
GUUUGGAUUAGUAAAUUAUAUAGCCUAUGACAAAUUUUUGCUCAGAGAAAUCAUUCAUUCUACUUUUCAAGCAUUAUACAGCACAGGCAUAUAAGGAGUUCCCACAACUAGUCUUUGAUAUCCUUAAAUCUAUGAAGAGAUCUAUCUAUAUAUCCACCAAAUAUAGCUAAACUAAAUGGUAAUUUCAUGGAAAGGAACCUCAAAGCACAGAGGGGGCAAACACACACACACGCACUCAAAGAAUGCCCAUCUGCAUAUUCAAUCAGGCUUCCUAUUAACUCAUUGAAGGAGUACACAAAGUAAUAAAAUAUGCAUAAUUUAAAUUAAAAUGCAUAGCUAAACCAUUUUGAAUAUAACAUAGGAACA